rnacentral:rRNA from 1 species
CACGUAGGGUGCGAGCGUUGUCCGGAAUUAUUGGGCGUAAAGAGCUCGUAGGCGGUCCGUCACGUCGGAUGUGAAAUUCCAGGGCUCAACCCUGGACCUGCAUUCGAUACGGGCGGACUAGAGUUCGGUAGGGGAGACUGGAAUUCCUGGUGUAGCGGUGAAAUGCGUAGAGCUCGGGAAGAACAUCGGUGGCGAAAGCGCUCUGCUGGACUGCAACUGACACUCAGAGACGAAAGCUAGGGGAGCGAAUGGG